CCUACGGGAGGCAGCAGUGAGGAAUAUUGGUCAAUGGGCGAGAGCCUGAACCAGCCAAGUCGCGUGAGGGAGUACUGCCCUAUGGGUUGUAAACCUCUUUUGUCGGGGAGCAAAAGCCGGACGUGUCCGGCUGUGAGAGUACCCGAAGAAAAAGCAUCGGCUAACUCCGUGCCAGCAGCCGCGGUAAUACGGAGGAUGCGAGCGUUAUCCGGAUUUAUUGGGUUUAAAGGGUGCGAAGGCGGAUUUUUAAGUCAGCGGUAAAAUCGUGGGGCUCAACCCCAUCCAGCCGUUGAAACUGGGGAUCUAGAGUGUGCGAGAGGUAUGCGGAAUGCGUGGUGUAGCGGUGAAAUGCAUAGAUAUCACGCAGAACCCCGAUUGCGAAGGCAGCAUACCGGUGCACAACUGACGCUCAGGCACGAAAGCGUGGGUAUCGAACAGGAUUAGAUACCCGAGUAGUC
rnacentral:rRNA from 1 species